UACGAAGGGGGCUAGCGUUGUUCGGAUUUACUGGGCGUAAAGCGCACGUAGGCGGAUCGUUAAGUCGGGGGUGAAAUCCUGGAGCUCAACUCCAGAACUGCCUUCGAUACUGGCGAUCUUGAGUCCGGAAGAGGUGAGUGGAACUCCUAGUGUAGAGGUGGAAUUCGUAGAGAUUGGGAAGAACACCAGUGGCGAAGGCGGCUAUCUGGACGGUUUUCUGACGCUAAGACGCGAAAGCGUGGGGAGCAAACAGG
rnacentral:rRNA from 1 species